rnacentral:rRNA from 1 species
CUCCGGUUGAUCCUGCCGGACCCGACUGCUAUCAGAGUGGGACUAAGCCAUGCGAGUCAACAUAGCAAUAUGUGGCAUACGGCUCAGUAACACGUAGUCAACAUGCCCAGGGGACGUGGAUAACCUCGGGAAACUGAGGAUAAACCGCGAUAGGUCAUCACUUCUGGAAUGGGUAAUGACUUAAAUCUAUAUGGCCCCUGGAUUGGACUGCGGCCGAUCAGGCUGUUGGUGAGGUAAUGGCCCACCAAACCUGUAACCGGUACGGGCUCUGAGAGGAGGAGCCCGGAGAUGGGCACUGAGACAAGGGCCCAGGCCCUAUGGGGCGCAGCAGGCGCGAAACCUCUGCAAUAGGUGAAAGCUUGACAGGGUUACUCUGAGUGAUUUCCGUUAAGGAGAUCUUUUGGCACCUCUAAAAAUGGUGCAGAAUAAGGGGUGGGCAAGUCUGGUGUCAGCCGCCGCGGUAAUACCAGCACCCCGAGUGGUCGGGACGUUUAUUGGGCCUAAAGCAUCCGUAGCCGGUUCUACAAGUCUUCCGUUAAAUCCACCUGCUUAACAGAUGGGCUGCGGAGGAUACUAUAAGACUAGGAGGCAGGAGAGGCAAGCGGUACUCAGUGGGUAGGGGUAAAAUCCGUUGAUCCAUUGAAGACCACCAGUGGCGAAGGCGGCUUGCCAGAAUGCGCUCGACGGUGAGGGAUGAAAGCUGGGGGAGCAAACCGGAUUAGAUACCCGGGUAGUCCCAGCUGUAAACGAUGCAGACUCGGUGAUGGACUAGCUUUAUGCUAGUCCAGUGCCGCAGGGAAGCCGUUAAGUCUGCCGCCUGGGGAGUACGGUCGCAAGACUGAAACUUAAGGAAUUGGCGGGGGAGCA